rnacentral:pre_miRNA from 1 species
UGUAGAACUGCUGGAUCAUAUAGUAACAGUACACUUAGCUGUUUGAGGAACUGACAGACAAUUUUCAAAAGCAACUGCACCAUUUUCCACUCCACUAGCACU